rnacentral:rRNA from 1 species
CUCUGUGACUCCUACGGGGAGGCAGCAGUGGGGGAAUAUUGCACAAUGGGCGCAAGCCUGAUGCAGCCAUGCCGCGUGUAUGAAGAAGGCCUUCGGGUUGUAAAGUACUUUCAGCAGUGAGGAAGGUGGUGCAGUUAAUAGCUGUAUCAUUUGACGUUAGCUGCAGAAGAAGCACCGGCUAACUCCGUGCCAGCAGCCGCGGUAAUACGGAGGGUGCGAGCGUUAAUCGGAAUUACUGGGCGUAAAGCGCAUGCAGGUGGUUUGUUAAGUCAGAUGUGAAAGCCCGGGGCGUCAACCUCGGAAUUGCAUUUGAAACUGGCAGACUAGAGUACUGUAGAGGGGGGUAGGAAUUUCAGGUGUAGCGGUGAAAUGCGUAGAGAUCUGAAGGAAUACCGGUGGCGAAGGCGGCCCCCUGGACAGAUACUGACACUCAGAUGCGAAAGCGUGGGGAGCAAACAGGAUUAGAUACCCUGGUAG